rnacentral:rRNA from 1 species
AGUGAACGCUGGCGGUAGGCCUAACACAUGCAAGUCGAACGGCAGCACAGAGGAGCUUGCUCCUUGGGUGGCGAGUGGCGGACGGGUGAGGAAUACAUCGGAAUCUACUCUGUCGUGGGGGAUAACGUAGGGAAACUUACGCUAAUACCGCAUACGACCUACGGGUGAAAGCAGGGGAUCUUCGGACCUUGCGCGAUUGAAUGAGCCGAUGUCGGAUUAGCUAGUGGGCGGGGUAAAGGCCCACCAAGGCGACGUUCCGUAGCUGGUCUGCACGGAUAAUCAGCCACAGUGGAACUGAGACACGGUCCAGACUCCUACGGGAGGCAGCAGUGGGGAAUAUUGGACAAUGGGCGCAAGCCUGAUCCAGCCAUACCGCGUGGGUGAAGAAGGCCCUCGGGUUGUAAAGCCCUUUUGUUGGGAAAGAAAUCCAUCUGGUUAAUACCCGGGUGGGAUGACGGUACCCAAAGAAUAAGCACCGGCUAACUUCGUGCCAGCAGCCGCCGUAA